CAUGGUGGUUAUUGCAACGGGGAUCACCUCUUCCCAUUCCGAACAGAGUCGUUAAGCCCGUUUGCGCCGAUGGUACUAGUACGCUGGGAGAGUAGGUCGCCGCCAUAC
rfam:Cryomorphaceae bacterium BACL18 MAG-120924-bin36 contig01963, whole genome shotgun sequence.